rnacentral:rRNA from 1 species
UACGUAGGGUGCGAGCGUUAAUCGGAAUUACUGGGCGUAAAGCGUGCGCAGGCGGUUUUGUAAGUGAGAUGUGAAAUCCCCGGGCUCAACCUGGGAACUGCGUUUGAAACUACAAGGCUAGAGUGUAGCAGAGGGGGGUGGAAUUCCACGUGUAGCAGUGAAAUGCGUAGAGAUGUGGAGGAACGCCAAAAGCGAAGGCAGCUCUCUGGGUCCCUACCGACGCUGGGGUGCGAAAGCAUGGGGAGCGAACAGG